UACGUAGGGGGCAAGCGUUGUCCGGAAUCAUUGGGCGUAAAGAGCGCGUAGGCGGCCCGGUAAGUCCGCUGUGAAAGUCAAGGGCUUAACCCUUGAAUGCCGGUGGAAACUGCCGGGCUAGAGUCCGGAAGAGGCGAGUGGAAUUCCUGGUGUAGCGGUGAAAUGCGCAGAUAUCAGGAAGAACACCAAUGGCGAAGGCAGCUCUCUGGGACGGUACUGACGCUGAGACGCGAAAGCGUGGGGAGCGAACAGG
rnacentral:rRNA from 1 species